GUCGCUUUCAUUGGCGUUCGUUGACUAAAUUCUACAACUAAAAUCUAUUUGCGAUGGUUCAUUUCGGAUACUACCUUCUGUUUCUAGUGCUAUGCGCUUUUGCAAUGGUUUCGACUCAAGCAGGACCGCUUCAACCGAUUGUGAAAAGAAAUCCACGGUCACCUCAGAGUAACUCAAAACAACACUGUGAAUAUGCAAAUGGUUCAUAUAAUUGUCAUUCUCAGCAGGGUUAACGCUUUUCGCAAUGCGGCAGAUGUAUUUGAACAUUUGUUCUGAAAAACUUAACAUUUUUAUAAUUAAUUUGGAGUGAUACGUGUACCGCAAAAAUGUUUAGAAAACACACUUAAAAAAUAGAGCAAUAAAAUCUAUUAUAACAAACGAAA